GUGGGGAAUAUUGGACAAUGGGCGAAAGCCUGAUCCAGCAAUGCCGCGUGAGUGAAGAAGGCCUUAGGGUUGUAAAGCUCUUUUACCCGGGAAGAUAAUGACUGUACCGGGAGAAUAAGCUCCGGCUAACUCCGUGUCAGCAGCCGCGGUAAUACGGAGGGAGCUAGCGUUGUUCGGAAUCACUGGGCGUAAAGCGCACGUAGGCGGCUUUGUAAGUUAGAGGUGAAAGCCCGGGGCUCAACUCCGGAACUGCCUUUAAGACUGCAUCGCUUGAAUCUGGGAGAGGUAAGUGGAAUUCCGAGUGUAGAGGUGAAAUUCGUAGAUAUUCGGAAGAACACCAGUGGCGAAGGCGGCUUACUGGACCAGAAUUGACGCUGAGGUGCGAAAGCGUGGGGAGCAAACAGGAUUAGAAACCCUGGUAGUCC
rnacentral:rRNA from 1 species